GAAACCAACAGGGAUUGCCCCAGUAACGGCGAGUGAAGCGGCAACAGCUCAAAUUUGAAAUCUGGCCCCAGGCCCGAGUUGUAAUUUGCAGAGGAUGCUUUUGGCGCGGUGCCUUCCGAGUGCCCUGGAACGGGACGCCACAGAGGGUGAGAGCCCCAUCUGGUUGGACACCAAGCCUAUGUAAAGCUCCUUCGACGAGUCGAGUAGUUUGGGAAUGCUGCUCUAAAUGGGAGGUAUAUGUCUUCUAAAGCUAAAUACCGGCCAGAGACCGAUAGCGCACAAGUAGAGUGAUCGAAAGAUGAAAAGCACUUUGAAAAGAGGGUUAAAUAGUACGUGAAAUUGUUGAAAGGGAAGCGCUUAUGACCAGACUUGGGCCCGGUGAAUCAUCCAGCGUUCUCGCCGGUGCACUUUGCCGGGCACAGGCCAGCAUCAGUUCGCCGCGGGGGAUAAAGGCUUCGGGAAUGUGGCUCCCUCGGGGAGUGUUAUAGCCCGUUGCACAAUACCCUGGGGCGGACUGAGGUUCGCGCAUCUGCUAGAAUGCUGCCGUAAUGGUCAUCAGCGACCCGUCUUGAAACACGGACCAAGGAGUCGUCUUCGUAUGCGAGUGUUCGGGUGUAAAACCCCUACGCGUAAUGAAAGUGAACGCAGGUGAGAGCUUCGGCGCAUCAUCGACCGAUCCUGAUGUUCUCGGAUGGAUUUGAGUAAGAGCAUACGGGGCCGGACCCGAAAGAAGGUGAACUAUGCCUGUAUAGGGUGAAGCCAGAGGAAACUCUGGUGGAGGCUCGCAGCGGUUCUGACGUGCAAAUCGAUCGUCAAAUAUGGGCAUGGGGGCGAAAGACUAAUCGAACCUUCUAGUAGCU
rnacentral:rRNA from 1 species